GAGGGGGGGCGUGCAGAGCCCCGCCGAGCCCAAGACUAAACACUUCAAAAGUUAAAUCCAACUCACACGCCCCAGCACCGGUGUGGUUGACACGAUGCCGAUUAGUUUGGGUUUGUGACGUUUUCUGACGUUUUAAUCGCUUACUGUACGCCCGAGAAGGGAUUUCUCGUGGGAGAGACGAGGUGUAUUUGUAAGCGUGGGGUGUUUGUGAAGUUACACCGCUGAUUCGAGUCCGGGACACCCCUCCGAGAGCGAGCCGCGACGCGGGGGCCGGUCUCUCGCCGGGAAACAUGCUCCUUAAGUGACUUUGGCACAGGGAAACCGUCGGCGUAGAAGCUGUCAUAUUGAUGGCCCUGGACACUCCAUUGUCCAGACUGGACAAUAAGGUUUUUUUUAAAGGGAUAUAGAUUUAAGUACCGAGGACAAAACAUAAAUUCCACACAUGGCAAUGGGUUGGCCAGUGCCCGAGAGCUGUGACUGGCUCCUGCAGGCUCCCUACUUCUGCUGCACUUGGAGCUUGAGUGUUGGCUGCCAGGCUGCCUUCGUGGCUCUGGAGCUUGUCACAGAGAGAAAUCAAAGUGGCAACAGUAGAAAGCAAGCCCCAACGCUGCCUGUUUUCUGAAAACAAAAGGGAUCCUCCUGGAGGAACUAUGGAAGGAAGUCAUGAGCCUCCUCCUGUUGGAAUAGGGGAAGUUUUGGAUGCAGUGGAAGAGUCAGUACAAAGCACUGCAUGAAUGCUGGGCUGAGUCGGUGGCACUUGGAGGCUAGAAGAGCCGUCAAGAGGCCCAACAGCGAGAAGAAUCAUCCUUCUAAAGGGAGAGCCUGCUGGAAACACGCAAGAGGCACAUGAAAAUGGAGGGAAAGAUAAGAAGUUUAAUGGAAGAUAUUGAGUUGGAUGACUGAAGUCUUCAUCAAAUAAGAAAGCACUCUCCUAUCUACUUUCUGAUGGUGUGUAAAUGAAUGAAUCAAAGCCCACACAUUCUCUUGCAAAUCAUGUCACAAGGAUUCUACGUGCCUAUGCCCCUGAGGUCAUGAGUGACUAUGUAUUGACCUCUGACAGACUCCUGCCACCUUUCCUUUAAUACAGCGAGCAUACACCUCUCUAACCACAUGAGUGCUAUACAUCCCAUACUGCCUACCCUUCCUUUCCUUUAUUUUAGCGAUUUAUACUCCCCAAAAUUUCCUAUAAUCUUGUGUAUUUCUCUACAGCCUUUCCCGAACUGAGAAGUUUCUUGAUACUUAAGCAGAUGUGUUAAGGAAUAAGGAAAAGCAUAAGAAGAUAUUAUUACAGGGAGAGUCCCAGCAACUUUUCAG